rnacentral:rRNA from 1 species
AAUCAACGCUGGCGGCGUGCCUCAGACAUGCAAGUCGAACGCUGCUGUUCGCCUUCGGGUGGACAGCGGAGUGGCGCACGGGUGAGUAACACGUAGGUAAUCUACCUUUGGGUGGGGAAUAACAGCCGGAAACGGCUGCUAAUACCGCAUAAUGCAGCGGCAUCACAUGAUGACAGUUGUUAAAGCGGGGGAUCGUAAGACCUCGCGCCUGAAGAGGAGCCUGCGGCAGAUUAGGUAGUUGGUGAGGUAAUGGCUCACCAAGCCUGCGAUCUGUAACCGGCCUGAGAGGGCGGUCGGUCACACUGACACUGAC